rnacentral:lncRNA from 1 species
GCCUCCGUCCCGUAUGUCAGGUUGAAGGGAGUCUCGCCGGUGGGGACGCGGAACGUGGUCCGGUAAGCCCACAGGACAUUGUAUAGGUCUUCGACCCAUUGUCCUUUGGAUUUGUCGAGCCUGGCUUUGAGACCCUGCAAAAUAGUACGGUUUGUUACCUCGGUUUCUCCGUUCGUCUGAGGGUGCGCGACCGAGGUGAAGCGAUG